rnacentral:rRNA from 1 species
UAGGGUUUGAUCAUGGCUCAGGAUGAACGCUAGCGGCAGGCCUAACACAUGCAAGUCGAGGGGCAGCACAAAGAUAGUUUACUAUUUUGGUGGCGACCGGCGCACGGGUGAGUAACGCGUAUGCAACCUACCUUAUACAGGAGUAUAGCCCGAAGAAAUUCGGAUUAAUCCUCCAUAGUAUUUUCUAAUGGCAUCAUUUGGAAAAUUAAAGCUUCGGCGGUAUAAGAUGGGCAUGCGUCCUAUUAGCUAGAUGGUAAGGUAACGGCUUACCAUGGCUACGAUAGGUAGGGGGCCUGAGAGGGUGAUCCCCCACACUGGUACUGAGACACGGACCAGACUCCUACGGGAGGCAGCAGUGAGGAAUAUUGGGCAAUGGAGGCAACUCUGACCCAGCCAUGCCGCGUGCAGGAAGAAUGCCCUAUGGGUUGUAAACUGCUUUUAUUUAGGAAUAAACCUCUCUACGUGUAGAGAGCUGAAUGUACUAAACGAAUAAGCACCGGCUAACUCCGUGCCAGCCGCCGCGGUAAUACA